rnacentral:rRNA from 1 species
GAUGAACGCUAGCGGCAGGCUUAACACAUGCAAGUCGAACGGUAACAGAAAAAGCUUGCUUUUUGCUGACGAGUGGCGAACGGGUGCGUAACGCGUAUGCAACCUACCUUUUACUGAGGAAUAGCCCAGAGAAAUUUGGAUUAAUACCUCAUAAUAAUAUUUUAUCGCAUGAUAGAAUAUUUAAAGCUUCUGCGGUAAAAGAUGGGCAUGCGUAACAUUAGUUUGUUGGUGAGGUAACGGCUCACCAAGACUACGAUGUUUAGGGGUUCUGAGAGGAUGAUCCCCCACACUGGUACUGAGACACGGACCAGACUCCUACGGGAGGCAGCAGUGAGGAAUAUUGGUCAAUGGACGAAAGUCUGAACCAGCCAUGCCGCGUGAAGGAUGACGGCCCUACGGGUUGUAAACUUCUUUUGUAUAGGAAGAAACCCCUCUACGUGUAGAGGGCUGACGGUACUAUACGAAUAAGCACCGGCUAACUCCGUG